UUCGAGAUCGAUGCUAAAAACCGGUUAUUUUCUAAGUGGUUGAUGUAUACUUUGCUCUCUUGGACGGCCAUUUUGCACUAGUGGAUCGGGUUCAAUUCCUGAGGCCCCCAGAUUAGGCACAUUUACGACUUAAUUGGGUCAACAAAUUGUGUUUCUGUGUUUUAUAAUUUGUGAUUAAUGGUUUCUUUGUAUUUUAUGUGAUUAUAGAGUUUUGCACCAAAUAACCCAACAAAAAUGGUAUCAGAGCUGGGCCAAAAUUUUGUUUUGG
rnacentral:lncRNA from 1 species